rnacentral:rRNA from 1 species
AAAUUGAAGAGUUUGAUCAUGGCUCAGAUUGAACGCUGGCGGCAGGCCUAACACAUGCAAGUCGAACGGUAGCAGAAAGAAGCUUGCUUCUUUGCUGACGAGUGGCGGACGGGUGAGUAAUGUCUGGGAAACUGCCCGAUGGAGGGGGAUAACUACUGGAAACGGUAGCUAAUACCGCAUAACGUCUUCGGACCAAAGAGGGGGACCUUCGGGCCUCUUGCCAUCGGAUGUGCCCAGAUGGGAUUAGCUAGUAGGUGGGGUAACGGCUCACCUAGGCGACGAUCCCUAGCUGGUCUGAGAGGAUGACCAGCCACACUGGAACUGAGACACGGUCCAGACUCCUACGGGAGGCAGCAGUGGGGAAUAUUGCACAAUGGGCGCAAGCCUGAUGCAGCCAUGCCGCGUGUAUGAAGAAGGCCUUCGGGUUGUAAAGUACUUUCAGCGGGGAGGAAGGGAGUGAGGUUAAUAACCUCAUUCAUUGACGUUACCCGCAGAAGAAGCACCGGCUAACUCCGUGCCAGCAGCCGCGGUAAUACGGAGGGUGCAAGCGUUAAUCGGAAUUACUGGGCGUAAAGCGCACGCAGGCGGUCUGUCAAGUCGGAUGUGAAAUCCCCGGGCUCAACCUGGGAACUGCAUUCGAAACUGGCAGGCUUGAGUCUCGUAGAGGGGGGUAGAAUUCCAGGUGUAGCGGUGAAAUGCGUAGAGAUCUGGAGGAAUACCGGUGGCGAAGGCGGCCCCCUGGACGAAGACUGACGCUCAGGUGCGAAAGCGUGGGGAGCAAACAGGAUUAGAU